rnacentral:lncRNA from 1 species
GCAGAAAAAAACGAGUCAGAUACAGCUGCAGAAUUUGUCAUGGCUCGAAUCGGCGAAUUUUUAAAUUGCUUGGCAACGCUAGUAUGCAAUGAUAAAGACAUAACGCAUCAACAGUUGGUCUCACUAGAAACACUCACAAUUAUGGUGAUGAAGAUGUAUCCUGAUUGUGGAAGAAAUUGGAAAGCUAGUCAAACAAUAGAGAGAACUAUUUUAUGUUUAAGCCUUAAAUCAGAAAAACUUUGGACACAUAUCUCGGAGUGAUAGUUUUUCAAGGGAUCAUUAGAACUUGUGACACAUUGAUUCUUCAAGAUGUUG